UACGUAGGGCGCAAGCGUUGUCCGGAAUUAUUGGGCGUAAAGAGCUCGUAGGCGGUUUGUCGCGUCUGCCGUGAAAGCCCACGGCUUAACCGUGGGUCUGCGGUGGAUACGGGCAGACUAGAGGCAGGUAGGGGAGAAUGGAAUUCCCGGUGUAGCGGUGAAAUGCGCAGAUAUCGGGAGGAACACCGGUGGCGAAGGCGGUUCUCUGGGCCUGUACUGACGCUGAGGAGCGAAAGCGUGGGGAGCGAACAGG
rnacentral:rRNA from 1 species